AUAAAUGGUUGCAUAUAAAAGUAGUAUACUGUAUAUACUCUGUGACAUGGUUUUUUUUUUUUUACUCAACUUCCAUUUAUUUGAUGACUAUUUGUCAGGUAGUUGCAAGGUUCCAGGCACUGUCCUGAAUUUCUAGUAAUAAACUGGACAACCAACUGAGAAAAUUAGACCCCUGAGUUCAUAGAGUUCACAUGGGCAAUCUCUUCAUGCAGUAAAAUAGAUAAAUUGCAUGCUUUUCAAUGACCGUGUAAUAGUCUAUAAUAUGGGCAUGUUGGAUUUCAUCUAGCCAUUCCUGUAUUGAUGGAUGUUUAGACUAUUUCCAGUGUUUGGCUGUGACAGUACUACCAUGAGCACACUCAUUCAUGGCUCCUUGGGCACAUGUGCAUGUGUCUGGGUAGAUGCUAAGUGCCCCACUAAGAGGUUCCAGUGGUAUGUAUGAGAGGACUCACUUUUGCCCAUCCUUUCUAAUGCUAUAUAUCAUCUGAAUUUUAUGCAUUUUACCCAUCUCACGAAUGCAAAAUGGAAUCUUGUUAUUUCAUGUCAAUCAAGUUUUCAUGUUGUUCUCUCUACUCACUAUUGUGGAUGAAAUGCACAAGUUGAGCUAAAUCACCACAAGCCCUUGUUAGUUUAUAAAUUCCACCUUGAUGGGAAUGGAUCUUAAGGACAAUACAGGCUAAAAAUGGAUAUCAAGUAACCACAUAAGUAAAGUAGCUGUCUUUGGUCUCCCUCUGCCUUCUUUGUUGGAGAAUUUUCAUGAUCCUAAAGCUCCCCCAGAAACCCAGAAAUUAGUUUCCCUGGUGGUCCUCUCUGAUUUCCUCUGGCAUGGUCUUCUAUAUUUAAAUUUCAACUCUAAUAAUCUGCCCAUCAAAGAAUCAAGAGGUUUGCAAGGGGAAGAAACAGCACAUAUAAAGUCACUGUGCAAGAAUCUAUGCUGGGCACAGAGGAGGUUCCACUCAGUAUUGGGUGAGUGUAUGGAUUAGUCAUGAGUGACUCCAUGUAUCAUAGUCUAAACUAGGAGGUAGAGAGUAGUGAGAGGGAGGGUUGAGGGAAGGACAGGAUCCUGAUCACGAAGAGUGAGAUGCUGAGGUUUUGGCCUUGACUCUAUGCACAAUAGGAAGUCCUUCCAUGUUUAUUAGAACUGUCUGUAAAACUGUUGUCUGUUGUCUGGGCGUUAUUGUUUAACUAAAAGAAGAAGAAAACACUCUUCAAAGAAAUCUCCUCCUGGUAUUAAGAUUAGUGAAUUAGGACCAUAGGUGGUUUGAUGAACACAAAAUUGAAGCGGAAGUAGGAGGAUGGCUUUGAGGGAGAGAGUAACUGUAAGAACAAUACAGUCCUUUGUUCAGCAAAUGUUUAUUGGUGUUCACUCCAUGCAAGGUACCAUUUAAAUGCUGAAGAUAUCAACUGCACAGAAAAAAAUAAAGUUUCUACUCUCAUAGAACUUAUGUUCCAGUGGGGGUGAAUGAGGGUGGGGUAAACAGUCAUGUGCUAUGUCAGGUGGUAGGUGCAUUGAGAAAAGCUCAAGUGAGGAGAAGGCAUUGAGAGUGAUUAAAAGGAAGAGUAAAAGCGAGCGAUGCAGAUGCGGGAAUGGGGACAUCAGGGUAGGGGGAGUAACAAGUGCAAAUGUCCUGAGGCCAGGUGUGCUUGACAUGUGCAGGGAACAGAUGUUUAUGGGGCACCUGUGAUACACCAUUUUUGAGUUGCUAGAAUAGAAUGGUAAACAAAGGGAGGCAAGAUUGCUGCUCUUACGAGGAAUAUCUUCAUGAUGUACUUAUAUUUUAUUAGUUUCUUUCUUAGAGGAGCUGUAGCCGCCGGCCUACACCACAGCCACAGCAGUGCCAUAUCUGAGCUGUAUCUGCCACCUACACCACAGCUCACUGCCAUGCCAGAUCAUCAACACACUGAGCAAGGCCAGGGAUCAAACCCGCAACUUCAUGGUUCCUAGUCGGAUUCAUUUCUGCUGUGCCUAGUCGGAUUCAUUUCUGCUGUAGGAACUCCUACAGUAUUUGUCUUUAUCUGACUUAUUUCACUUAGCGUAAUGUCCACCAAGUUCACCCAUGUUGCUGCAGGUGGCAAAAUUUCUAUGACUGAAUAGUAUUCCAUUGUGUACAUAUACCACAUCUUCUUUAUCCAUUCAUCUGUUGAUGGACACUUAGGUUGCUUCCAUAUCUGGGCAAUUGCAAAUAAUGUUGCUAUGAACAUUGAGGUGCAUGUAUCUUUUUGAAUUAGUGUUUUUGUUUUUUUGGAAUAUAUACCCAGAAGUGGAAUUGCUGGGUCAUAUGGUAGUUCUGUUUUUGGUCUUUUGAGAAACCUCUAUACUGUUUUCCACAGCGACUAUACUAAUUUACAUUCCCACCAACACUGUAUGAGGGUCCCCCUUUCUCCACAUCCUCAAUAACGUUUGUUGUUUGUGUUCUUUUUGAUGGUAGCCAUUCUGACAGGUGUGAGGUGAUAUCUCUCCAUGGUUUUGACUUAUAUUUCCCUGACGAUUAGCGAUAAGCAUUUUUCAUGCGCCUGUUCGCCAUCUGCAUUUCCUCUUAGGAAAAAUAUCUAUUCAGUUCUUCUGCCCAUUUUUUAAUUGAGUUGUUUGCUUUUUUGAUGUUGAGUUGUAUGAGUUGUUUAUAAAUGUUGGAAAUUAAUCCCUUCUUGGUCAUAUCGCUUGCCAAUAUUUUCUCCCUUUUAGUAGGUUGUCUUUUUGUUUUGUUGAUGAUUUCCUUUGCUGUGUCAUUUUAAAAUUUGGAGUAAUUGUUGGGCCAUCUAUCUUUGGCCACCUCUUUUUUGCAAACUCCCAUUUGCCUUUAAAAACUCAACUUAGUUCUCACCUCUGGUGUCGCUUUGAAGCCCUGGUCUGAUUUAUUGCCUCCCACCCCACCGUCUGUGCCCACGAAAUCUAUGCCUGACUCUGGCUCUGUCAUAGCCCGUAUUGUAUUUUAGUGUAAUCCUCUGUUUAUCCCUCUCUCCAACCAGUCUGUGAGCUCCUUGCAUGGUGGGGAUGAGAUCUUUGGUGUUUUUGAUCCCUACAAAUAUUUUCUGGUACAUUACGGUUGCUCUACAUAGAUAUUUGCUGAAGGAAUAAAUGCCUAAUCUAUAUCCAUACCGGAGUCUUCUCCAGAGGCUGGAAGGACCAUCCUAGAUUGUCUUUCCAAGCAAAAUACAGGAGAAUAUGGGAGUAGCUGAUAGAAGAAUGUCAGGAUAAUGGGGCCUUCUUGGGAGUGCAUCUCUGGCCUCCUCUCCCAUUCCAACAUGAAGAAGCUAUAACUGGCCUUUCAAACUACUUCCCUACUCCCUGGACAGAGAAACUAAUUCCUUACCAGGAGUAAGCAUAUGGGAGGGCCUUGGCUCUGAGCAAGAAGUCAACUACAAAGGCUUUGAUGUGUAACCGCAGUUCACCCAUCUCCACACUGAUGGGGGGUGUGGAUCUGAACUGUAAGGCCCCACAGGGCUGCUAAUGAACACAGAUAGUGUCCUCUUUCUGGUCACAGAAGGCCCCUAACUAUUUUUUUCUUCAGGAAGUGACUACUUUCCAUCAUUGUGAGGGCUCAGAGGACCCCUAGUCCUUCAAAUAGUUGGUCGUAAUGUUAAUGGUUUUCCUGGCUUGGGCUUAUCUAUUUCUAUAAGCAUGGCUAGAAAUUUUACUUGAAAGAAUGAAAGGAAGAAAGAAAGAAAAAAGAAUAGAUUUGCUCCAAUGGAUAACUGACUCUGCUCUGAGAAAUAGUCAGGUUGUGAAGGCUGUGUGUUUUGAUUUGUUUUCUUUUAAGAUGAGACCAGCCAUCUCUUGGCUUGGGUUGACUGCCAUUUCUCUGGGCUUACCCUGGAAGGUUCGUGAGGUUGUUUUAUUCCAGUUAACAUCUCAGUAAUUGGAAAUGUUUGGGGUGAAAGGAACCAGUGACAAGAGGAAGGGAUUACCCAUUGAGGGAUCACUGGGAGUAAGGGAAAAGAAAAAGUGGGAAAGUUAUGAGAAAUAUCGCAGAGGAGGAUGUUUUAAAAAAGUGGCUCCCUUGUGAUGGUCCCACAGCCAAGUUAAAAUGGCUACUGUAAAUCAUCUAGCUGUCAGCUGAAAGGUGCUUGAGCUUUGAUUGGGUCUUUUCUUAUAUGUAGAAACACUGGUGGGUCUUGAUGUCUGCAUGUGUCUUUAUUACUUUUCAGUCUCUUUUGACAAAUGAAUUAUGCUUCCAAAGUUGGGUCUCAGGUUGUUGGUGAACUUUAUAAACUCAGUUUUGUCCACUGAAGGGCACUCUGAUACUUAAAUUGUGCACAGUAGACCCAGAUCUCCUGUUACGAAACCACACUUCCGUGACUUAGCAUUUGUAGGUAUUAGAAUGAGUCAUUUUGUCUAUGUCAGUUUUCUCUUGGGUAAAAUGGGAAUAACUGUAGCAGUUCUUACCUUGCGAGAUGGUUGUGAGAAAGAGAGGAUCUAGGAGAAGUGCUUCCUGCCUGGCACAUGGGAUGGCUCCUUCUCCCCCUGUCUUGUCACCUUUCCUUCCCUCCCUCUCUGUUUGAAUGGUCCCCUGCACAUGGGAUCUCUGCUUUCAUAGGAGUCAUUUUCAGAAUGCAUCCUUCCCAGGAGAUAAGACAAUUGAGAAUCUUGUUAUAGUUCUACAAUAGUAAGCACCUGGGUUAUCUUUCCAUUUAUCAAAAAUAGUUAGCUUGACCCUUGAUAAAAUCCCUGUGAGGAUACUCAUGACCUUGUACCUGACCAGGCAUGAGCCUUCAACAGCACUGGCUCUGCGUGGCUCUGCAGCAGCAGUUAAUAUAAUGAGGCAGGGAAUGUGGCAGUUCUCUCAUGAUACUGGAUGUCCGUUUCAUUCUCUGCCCUAUCUCCUUUCCAGGGACCCCAAUGACAUCAUAAAGGGGUGUUGACUAUCUCGGCGCCAGACCCAUUAGGAAGAAAGCUGAAGACCCAGGACUGAGCCCAAAGCACAGUCACACAUUGGAAAGCAUUUCUUACUACAGAAAACUGAGCACCUUCUGAGCUCAAAGGAAGAUCUAGAAUUCAUGGGGGUUAGGGACUGGUUCUUCCCUUCUAACCAUUUUUCCAAUCUCUCAUAUCUAAGUCCAUUUCCUCUCUCCCCGCUGUCCCCCUUUCCCCGUCAAAGAAACUGCUAACAAUGUCUAUAGAAUUAUUGAGCUUUGUUGUUUAAAUUCAUUUUCAGGAAUUAUUGACCCAAUAGAACUUAAUGACACCUUGGAGUUGAGGCCCUUUGUAUAAAUCCUUCUUUCUUUGCAGAUUAAUGGACAGAUGGGAUUUGAAGGGGGCUCCAAUGUCCAAAUGCUAAUUAUAGAUUUCUAUAGCAGAAUUUCAGCUGAAAAUUACUAUUCCUGCAUACUAGCUUGAUUUUUUAAAAACUAGAUUGCCACCAACACAAAAUUCAAUUGAUAUCCCUUUCCUUAAAAAAAAAAAAA
rnacentral:lncRNA from 1 species